UGAAUACGAGACGCUAAGGCGUCGAAGUAGUGUAUGUCAUACUUCCAAGAAAAGCUUGCACUGUCAUAGAUAAAAAACGCCUGUACCAUAACCGACACAGGUGGGUAGGUAGAGUAUACUAAGGGGCGCGAGAUAACUCUCUCUAAGGAACUCGGCAAAAUAACUCCGUAACUUCGGGAGAAGGAGUGCCUUAUUCGUAAGGUUGCAAUAACAAGAUCCAAGCAACUGUUUAUCAAAAACACAGGUCUCCGCUAAGUCGUAAGACGAUGUAUGGGGGCUGACGCCUGCCGAGUGCCAGAAGGUUAAAGAAGUUGGUUAGCAAUUGCGAAGCUGAUAACUGAAGCCCUGGUGAACGGCGGCCGUAACAAUAACGGUCCUAAGGUAGCGAAAUUCCUUGUCGGGUAAGUUCCGACCCGCACGAAAGGCGUAAUGAUUUGGAUACUGUCUCGGAGAGGGGCUCGGUGAAAUAGACUUGUCUGUGAAGAUGCGGACUACCUGCACCAGGACAGAAAGACCCUAUGAAGUUUUACUGUAACUUGAAAUUGAAAUUGGACUUUAUUCGCGCAGUAUAGGUGGGAGGCUUUGAUUAUAAUCUUGUGGGAUUAUUGGAGCCAUCAGUGAGAUACCACUCUUGUAAUGUUAGAUUUCUAACUUUGAAUCAUUAUCUGGUCAAAGAACAGUUUCAGGCGGGCAGUUUGACUGGGGCGGUCGCCUCCUAAACGGUAACGGAGGCGUACAAAGGUUUCCUCUGAACGGUUAGAAAUCGUAUCUAGAGUGUAAAGGCAUAAGGAAGCUUGACUGUGAGACCUACAAGUCGAGCAGGGACGAAAGUCGGUCUUAGUGAUCUGACGGUACUGAGUGGAAAGGCCGUCACUCAACGGAUAAAAGUUACUCUAGGAUAACAGGCUGAUCUCCCCCAAGAGUUCACAUCGACGGGGAGGUUUGGCACCUCGAUGUCGGCUCAUCGCAUCCUGGGGCGGUAGUACGUCCCAAGGGUUGGGCUGUUCGCCCAUGAAGGCGGUACGCGAGCUGGGUUCAGAACGUCGUGAGACAGUUCGGUCCAUAUCCGGUGUAGGCGUUAGAAUAUUGAGAGGAGCCUUCUUUAGCACGAGAGGACCGAGAAGGACAUACCUCUGGUGUACCAGUUAUCGUGCCAACGGUAAACGCUGGGUAGCUAUGUAUGGAGUGGAUAACCGCUGAAAGCAUCUAAGUGGGAAGCCCACCUCAAGAUAAGUAUUCUCAC
rnacentral:rRNA from 1 species